rnacentral:rRNA from 1 species
GACGAACGCUGGCGGCGUGCUUAACACAUGCAAGUCGAACGAUGAAGGAGAGCUUGCUCUCCGGAUUAGUGGCGAACGGGUGAGUAACACGUGACUAACCUGCCCCUUUCUCUGGGAUAACGCUCCGAAAGGAGUGCUAAUACCGGAUACGAACUCUGAACACAUGUUCGGAGUUGGAAAGUUUUUCGGAAAGGGAUGGAGUCGCGGCCUAUCAGCUUGUUGGUGAGGUAAUGGCUCACCAAGGCGACGACGGGUAGCCGGCCUGAGAGGGCGACCGGCCACACUGGGACUGAGACACGGCCCAGACUCCUACGGGAGGCAGCAGUGGGGAAUAUUGCACAAUGGGCGAAAGCCUGAUGCAGCGACACCGCGUGAGGGAUGAAGGUCUUCGGAUUGUAAACCUCUUUCAGUAGGGACGAAGCGAAAGUGACGGUACCUAAAGAAGAAGCACCGGCCAACUACGUGCCAGCCGCCGCUGUAACAC